GAGUUUGAUCCUGGCUCAGAACGAACGCUGGCGGCAUGCCUAACACAUGCAAGUCGAACGAUCCCUUCGGGGAUAGUGGCGCACGGGUGCGUAACGCGUGGGAACCUGCCCUUAGGUUCGGAAUAACUCCCCGAAAGGGGUGCUAAUACCGGAUAAUGUCUUCGGACCAAAGAUUUAUCGCCUUUGGAUGGGCCCGCGUUGGAUUAGCUAGUUGGUGGGGUAAAGGCCUACCAAGGCGACGAUCCAUAGCUGGUCUUAGAGGAUGAUCAGCCACACUGGGACUGAGACACGGCCCAGACUCCUACGGGAGGCAGCAGUGGGGAAUAUUGGACAAUGGGCGAAAGCCUGAUCCAGCAAUGCCGCGUGAGUGAUGAAGGCCCUAGGGUUGUAAAGCUCUUUUACCCGGGAUGAUAAUGACAGUACCGGGAGAAUAAGCUCCGGCUAACUCCGUGCCAGCCGCCGCCGUAAC
rnacentral:rRNA from 1 species